rnacentral:rRNA from 1 species
CGUGCUAAGGUAGCAUAAUCAUUUGCCUUUUAAUUGGAGGCUAGUAUGAAUGGGAAGACGUAGAUUCAGCUGUUUCUAUAUUAUAAAUAAAACUUAAACUUUAGGUGAAGAUGCCUAAAUUUUAUAGAAAGACAAGAAGACCCUAUAGAGUUUUAGUUAAACCUACUAAUCUAUUGUAAUAUAACUUUGGUUGGGGCGACCUAGGAUUUUCAUAAACAUCCUACUAACUUACGAUAUUUUAUUCUUAUAAAUUGACCCUAUAACGGAUUAUCAGAAAUAACUACCUUAGGGAUAACAGGCUUAUCUUCCUAGAGAGCUCUUAUUGAUAGGAUGGUUUGGCACCUCG